AAAUUAUAAUGAGGGCAUCUCCUCAGAUGUUCUUCAAAUAGUUCCCACACUUCAAAUAGGGAUUCAAACUCAUUUUGUUGGAAGCUAGAUAUCUUUGCCACGUGCUU